GUAAGGUAUAAGUGGGAUGCAUUUAAAGCACUUAGCACAGUGCCUGGUGUAGAGAAAGCUCUUAGAGCUAGCUAAUAUGACUUAUCCUACACUUAAAUUAAUGUUAGGGAAGGGGAAAGUUCAUGUAUGUUUGUUAGUAUGUAUGUGUGUUAAUAUGUUAAUAUGUUUGUUUGUUAAUGUGUAUGUUUUGUGUCAUCAACUUUGCUAUUUUAUUCUUUUCAGAAGUGAUCUGUUGACACCUUUACCGAGUUUGUUCCUAUUGCAGGACUCUUUCAUUUUCUGGAAUGCAACUAGUUUGAGUCUUCUGAUGUAAAACAUUUAAACGGAAAUUUCUGCUGUCCUCAGAACAAGAUCUAUAUUUCUGCCUCUUCCCUACCCACCCCUCUUCUACACCUCAUAGUGUUAUUUAUUUUUUAUCUCUUUAGUGGGCAGUUUUAUCUGGCAAUAGCAACUAAAUUUUAUAGCAACUGAAAGGCAGGAAAAGUCCUUAUUUACUGAAAUAAAACAGAAGACUUUCACAGGGACUCCUGGUCAACCACUGUGCUUAUGACUGGAGAGAUUAUUUUGAUAUAACGGAAGGAAUUAUCCUGAUUUCAGCACUACUAUCUCUGGUUUCACUUUGCUUCCAGCAGAAGCAAGAGACAAUAGUAAUUGUCCUAGGCCUACUUACAAGCCUCCAGUCUCAAAUUAUCCAGGAUAUCCUAAACCUGAGGAAGGAAUACUUGACAGUCUGGAUGAUUGGGUCAUUGCUCUGAUUGUUAUUGCCAUAGUUGUUGGAGUUGCAGUAAUUUGUGUUGUCCUGUACGGAUAUCUUCAAAGGAGGAAGAAGAAAGGGAAUGCAGAUGGUGGAGCUGAAUAUGCCACUUACCAGACUAAAUCAACCACUCCAGCAGAGCAGAGAGGCUGAAUGGAUUCCACAACCUGGUUUGCCAGUUCAUCUUUUGACUCUAUUAAAAUCUUCAAUAGUUGUUAUUCUCUAGUUUCACUCUCAUGGGUGCAACUGUGGCUUAACUAACAUUCCAAUGUGGCUUGAAUGUAGGUAGCAUCCUUUGAUGCUUCUUUGAAACUUGUAUGAAUUUGGGUAUGAACAGAUUGCCUGUCUUCCCUUAAAUAACACUUAGAUUUAUUGGACCAGUCAGUGCAGCAUGCUUGGUUGUAUUAAAACAGGGAUAUGCUGUAUUUUAUAACAUUGGCAAAAUUAGAGAAAUAUAGUUCACAUUGAAAUUAUAUUUUCUUUGUAAAGAAAGUGGCUUGAAAUCUUUUUUGUUCAAAGAUUAAUGCCAACUCUUAAGAUUAUUCUUUCACCAACUAUAGAAUGUAUUUUAUAUAUCGUUUAUUGUAAAAAGCCCUUACGAAUAUGUGUAUACUACUUUGGCUCUUGUGCAUAAAAACAAGAACACUGAAAACUGGGAAUAUGCACAAACUUGACUUCCUUAACCAAGAAUAUUAUUGGAAAAUUCUCUAAAAGUUAAUAGGGUAAAUUCUCUAUUUUUUAUAAUGUGUUCAGUGAUUUCAGAAAGCUAGAAAGUGUAUGUGUGGCAUUUGUUUUCACUUUUUAAAACAUCCCUAACUGAUCGAAUAUAUCAGUAAUUUCAGAAUCAGAUGCGUCCUUUCAUAAGAAGUGAGAGGACUCUGACAGCCAUAACAGGAGUGCCACUUCAUGGUGUGAAGUGAACACUAUAGUCUUGUGGUUUUCCCAAAGAGAACUCCGUAUGUUCUCUUAGGUUGAGUAACCCACUCUGAAUUCUGGUUACAUGUGUUUUUCUUUCCCUCCUUAAAUAAACAGAGGGGUUAAACAUGCCCUCUAAAAUUAGGUGGUUUUGAAGAGAAUAAAUUGAUCAGAUAACCUCAAGUCACAUGAGAAUCUUAGUCCAUUUACAUUGCCUUGGCUAGUAAAAGCCUCUUACCUAUGUAUGUGUCUUACCUCAUCUCCUAAAAGGCAGAGUACAAAGUAAGCCAUGUGUCUCAGGAAGGUAACUUCACUUUGUCUAUUUGCUGUUGAUUGUACCAAGGGAUGGAAAAAGUAAAUAUAGCUCAGGUAGCACUUUAUACUCCGGCAGAUCUCAGCCCUCUACUGAGUCACUUAGCCAAGCAGUUUCU
rnacentral:sRNA from 1 species